GGGCGUAUAGCUCAGUUGGUAGAGCGCUUCCCUUACAAGGAAGUGGUCGGGGGUUCGAGUCCCUCUGCGCCCA
rnacentral:tRNA from 1 species